UUGUGGAGGAGGACGCCGAAGGUGGGGCUAAUGACUGGGGUGAAGUCGUAACAAGGUAGCCGUACCGGAAGGUGCGGCUGGAUCACCUCCUAACAGGGAGACAACAAAAUGUUUAAUAUUAUUUUGUCACCUUAGGUCGAUCGGUAUCUCACAUUCUUAAUUUUAUUGAGGAUUUCAAAUCCUAAGUUUUUUCUAGGUCACACCCAUUACUUUUCCUGGGCCAUUAGCUCAGGUGGUUAGAGCGCACCCCUGAUAAGGGUGAGGUCCCUGGUUCAAGCCCAGGAUGGCCCAUAUCUCUAUGUUGGGGGUAUAGCUCAGUUGGUAGGGCGCCUGCUUUGCAAGCAGGAUGUCAGCGGUUCGAGUCCGCUUACCUCCACUGAUUACCACCUCUUGCAUAAUCUAUAGGAUGGAAAAUGUUUUGAGUCGUGAUCAAAUACUGAACGAAUCUAGCUUCCUAAUGAAAUUAUUAAGAUGCUGGACUCAUUGAAUUAAUUUCAUUGUUUUCAGAGAACCUUGACAACUGCAUAGAUUAUUUUAAAGACAAUAAGCAUCUUUAAUGAUGCAGAUUUAUUAUUUGUGCGAAUGCAUUAAUAACAAUUCUAUUAAGCUGAUGCUUCAAUUUUUGAAGUUAUUGGUCAAGCUACAA
rnacentral:misc_RNA from 1 species